AAUAGAUACUGCUUUGUAUAUGGAAAUAUUCAGUCAUCUGAGCCUUUCCCUGCAGUCUGAAUUAGUACAAUUCAGGUGAGUUCCUUGGUGCUGCCUACCUCAAGUGACACUGGUGGCUCCGUCAGCCUUAGACUCUGUCUUAACUCAGCAAUUCCUAUGCACAUUGAGAGUCCCCCGUGCCAUAGCCGACACAGCAAGCACCAUCAGCGCCCUUGCUGUAACUACUGUAUUAUUACUAUCCAUCCAGCCACGUUCUCCGUAGGGGAGGAAGAACACAUCUACCAGGAAAGGCUCUCCUGCCCAAGGUGAACUGCAAACAAGAGGAGUAAAGAGGCAGGAAAGGAGGGGGACAGAGAGAUGGGGAAAGCCGAUUCAAGAAACAGAGGAUGGAACACCAAGGGCUUGUCUCUUCUGAUGUUGGAGGUCAGGAAUGUUGCAGUGGAGCCCGAGGUCCCAGCUGGCAUUCCUGAGAGGGAGAGCAACCGUUUGCAAUGAAGAGGCUGGAGAUGUGCAUAGAGAUGAAGAUUUCUGUGCAGAGCAAACAGAAGGUUUGGAACCAGAUGCACCUGAACUUGAACAUGAGGAUGCGGAAGAUGCACAUGGAAAUGUUGGUACAUUGUUUAAGGGGGAUUAUUUGAACAGUGUGUGGGCGUUACUCCUGCAAUGUAAGACAAAUUAUGGACCCUCUUAGUUAUGGCGUGGAAGAAUGAUUCCCAUCAUUUCGCAGAACAACACUAACAUGUAACGUUGUGCAAUUCACAGACCCAGCAGUGCACAACCCCACAGUGACCCUGUCACUGGCAGUUCGUCUUGCAGCACUGAGAUGAAAAAAAAACCAAAGGAACACAUGCAGAGACACUGCUCAUGUCUAUACUGGAAGCGGCAAAAGAGGACGCUUGUAGGAGAGAGCAGCAGCAACUGAACAUGAGCAGUUCAUGUUGCUAAUGAGAGAAAAUAACGACCUUUUUCGUCAGAGCCUUGCCACUAUAGACGAGCAUGCUGCACAGAAUAUGUGGGUCAGAAACAAGUACUUGGACACAAUGAAUGGGAUAGUCUCGGCUGUUACUGCCAUUGUGUCUAAUCUCGAAACAUUGACCCGCACUUUCCAGGAACAAACCAAUGCUGCUGCUAGCGGUGGCAAUGUAAGUGGGAUUGGUGGGAAAACCAGAACACAAACCAUCAGUGUGCCACUGCAGCAGCUUCCAACAACAUCCUCUACCUGUGACAGUAAUUUAAGUAGGAAGAGAAAAAGACCACCUUUGCCCACAGGAAAGGAAAACAAGGGACACACCACAAAACCACAAAGAUCUGUUUGCCCUUCUUUGCAGGCAAACACCCCAAAACCACCAAGUUUCCAGUUGUCCCCUUCUUCUCAGGACCUCAUAUCUUCCAGUGGUGAGUCUGAUGAUGAGACAGUAAUUGAUGCAGAGAGUUCAUCAUCAGUUGCACAGAUUAGGCCACCACCAAGUCCCAUUGCUGGAAUGGUUAACCCACACAGCUCAGAAGUGUGUCCAUCCCAGUUCGGUGCCCCCUCAAUCCAGCCACUUACGUCCACCCCGCAAUUUUCUCGCCAUGUAAGACGUGUCAGAAAGCCACAACCCUAUAGCCCCUAGGUGUAUGUUUGUACAUGCUUAACCCAAGGAUAAAUAAUGUUUCAUGGCUUUCACGGUUGCAAAAUGACUAUAGUGGCACACAACAAUUUAUAGACAGAAGGGGUGCAUGCAUGUGCUUAUAAUUGGAGUUGGGUUAAUGCAGUGUACAAUGUGGCCUCCAUUACUUUCAUCCUAUCGAUUGCUGUAAUGCAAAUGUUCUCAAUUUCUUUCACGACGUCCUUGAGCGAGUAGAGACUAUCUCCAAGCUCUGAGCUGUGAAAGCAAUGGAAGAAUUUGGUGCACAUAGCGUACUCAGGUGCAAUGCUUAACGUUUCCCUUUAUAGGCACAUCAUGUGGUUUGGUUGUUUCUGCACUGUCUGAAGCUCAGAAAGUUUGUGGAAUAUUAAUUCAGCUUGCCUUGACUUAAACAUUUGCUUUCCAUCACUUGGAUUCUGCAGAGGAGAUUCUUCAUAACUGUGGUGUGCGUGGACUCUGACACCUUCUCAGUUUGUGUUACGGUCGCAAGGUCCAUGGCCUGCUACUGACUCUGUAUCUUUAGAAGAGAAAGUCAGCCAAGCUGUGCAGGGGUUAGGGAGAAUUCAGCGUUGUGGUUUUUCUCAGUGCAGUGCUGCAAGAAGACAUGCACUUGGCUGACUUUCUCUUCUCCUAAAGAUAUGGUAUCAGCCUCAGGCCAUGGACCUGGCAACCCUAGUUUGUGUCCACCGGUUGAUAUAACAUGUUCUGUGCUUCUGUGAAUGCGUAGGUUUCUCUUGUGGGCAUUCGACUACUACGUAAGCAAUACCCAAGGAUGCAUUUCAUGUGACACCGAACAAGAAGUCAUAAAAUGCUAUACCUUGCAUUUUCUAUGGUUGGUGUGAUAUAUCCUGAAAGACGAUUGCUACCUAUGGCCAACCUCUUUUUUUUGUGUGUGUGCAUGUAUUCAAACGGUUUUUGCGUUGGAGCUCAGUGUUGUUAAUGAAGGGUUCUUGUACUGUUUCACUGUGUUUAAAGUUUAGAUGUUAAAUUACAUAGCAAAAGAAUGACUUCUGGUUAUGACUGUAUUGGCACAAGUCACUUUUGUGAAUGAUGUUUUUGAAUUGCAUUCCUUUGUAAUAGGUGCAGCAAAACAUGGGAUUGCUUUCUGCACAUAAGUUUAUGGGCUGUUAGAACACAAUGUCUUAAUCUGUACGUAAGAAAUAAA